AGUAACGGCGAGUGAAGCGGCAACAGCUCAAAUUUGAAAUCUGGCUCUCGGGCCCGAGUUGUAAUUUGUAGAGGAUGCUUUUGGUGAGGUGCCUUCCGAGUUCCCUGGAACGGGACGCCAUAGAGGGUGAGAGCCCCGUCUGGUUGGACACCGAUCCUCUGUAAAGCUCCUUCGACGAGUCGAGUAGUUUGGGAAUGCUGCUCUAAAUGGGAGGUAUAUGUCUUCUAAAGCUAAAUACCGGCCAGAGACCGAUAGCGCACAAGUAGAGUGAUCGAAAGAUGAAAAGAACUUUGAAAAGAGAGUUAAAAAGUACGUGAAAUUGUUGAAAGGGAAGCGCUUGUGACCAGACUUGGGCUUGGUUGAUCAUCCGGGGUUCUCCCCGGUGCACUCUUCCGGCUCAGGCCAGCAUCAGUUCGCCCUGGGGGAUAAAGGCUUCGGGAAUGUGGCUCUCUCCGGGGAGUGUUAUAGCCCGCUGCGUAAUACCCUGUGGCGGACUGAGGUUCGCGCAUUCGCAAGGAUGCUGGCGUAAUGGUCAUCAGUGACCCGUCUUGAAACACGGACCAAGGAGUCGUCUUCGUAUGCGAGUGUUCGGGUGUCAAACCCCUACGCGAAAUGAAAGUGAACGCAGGUGAGAGCUUCGGCGCAUCAUCGACCGAUCCUGAUGUUAUCGGAUGGAUUUGAGUAAGAGCAUACGGGGCCGGACCCGAAAGAAGGUGAACUAUGCCUGUGUAGGGUGAAGCCAGAGGAAACUCUGGUGGAGGCUCGCAGCGGUUCUGACGUGCAAAUCGAUCGUCAAACAUGGGCAUGGGGGC
rnacentral:rRNA from 1 species